UUAUGGCCAUAUCUCGUUCAAAUCCUGAAGCCCAUACGAUCACCGAAGUCAAGCAACGCCGAGCCUGAUCAGUGCCUGAAUGUAUGACCGCUUGGGAAUACCAGGUGCUAUAA